rnacentral:rRNA from 1 species
GAUGAACGCUGGCGGCGUGCCUAAUACAUGCAAGUCGAGCGAGCGGACGAGAAGCUUGCUUUUCUGAUGUUAGCGGCGGACGGGUGCUUAACACGUGGAUAACCUACCUAUAAGACUGGGAUAACUUCGGGAAACCGGAGCUAAUACCGGAUAAUAUUUUGAACCGCAUUGUUCAAAAGUUAAAGACGGUCUUGCUGUCACUAAUAGAUGGAUCCGCACUGCAUUAGCUAGUUGGUAAGGUAACGGCUUACCAAGGCAACGAGGCAUAGCCGACCUGAGAGGGAGAAUGGCCAGAUUGGAUGUGAGACAGGGCCGCGACUCCUGCGGGGGGACGCAGCAGGGAAUCCUACGCAAGGGGGGAAAGGCGAACAGUGCAAAGCCGCGUGAGGGAUGAUGGUCUACGGAUCGUAAAACGCUGUUAUUAGGGAAGAUCAUAUGUGUAAGUACCUGUGCAGAUAUUGACGGUACCUGAUCAGAAAGCUACGGCUAACUACGUG